rnacentral:rRNA from 1 species
UACGAAGGGGGCUAGCGUUGCUCGGAAUCACUGGGCGUAAAGGGUGUGUAGGCGGGUAUUUAAGUCAGUGGUGAAAUCUCCGGGCUCAACCCGGAAACUGCCAUUGAUACUAUUUAUCUUGAAUCUUGUUGAGGUAGGCGGAAUACAUCAUGUAGCGGUGAAAUGCUUAGAUAUGAUGUAGAACACCGAUUGCGAAGGCAGCUUACUAAACAAGCAUUGACGCUGAGGCACGAAAGCGUGGGGAUCAAACAGG